CCUACGGGAGGCAGCAGUGGGGAAUAUUGGACAAUGGGGGGAACCCUGAUCCAGCCAUGCCGCGUGUGUGAAGAAGGCCCUCGGGUUGUAAAGCACUUUCAGUGAGGAAGAACGCCUGGUGGUUAAUACCCAUCAGGAAAGACAUCACUCACAGAAGAAGCACCGGCUAACUCCGUGCCAGCAGCCGCGGUAAUACGGAGGGUGCGAGCGUUAAUCGGAAUUACUGGGCGUAAAGCGCGCGUAGGUGGCUUGAUAAGCCGGUUGUGAAAGCCCCGGGCUCAACCUGGGAACGGCAUCCGGAACUGUCAAGCUAGAGUGCAGGAGAGGUAGGUAGAAUUCCCGGUGUAGCGGUGAAAUGCGUAGAGAUCGGGAGGAAUACCAGUGGCGAAGGCGGCCUUCUGGACUGACACUGACACUGAGGUGCGAAAGCGUGGGUAGCGAACAGGAUUAGAUACCCGAGUAGUC
rnacentral:rRNA from 1 species